rnacentral:rRNA from 1 species
UACGGGGGGGGCAAGCGUUGUUCGGAUUUACUGGGCGUAAAGGGCGCGUAGGCGGCCACCGCAAGUCGACUGUGAAAUCUCCGGGCUUAACUCGGAAAGGUCAGCCGAUACUGCGGGGCUAGAGUGCAGAAGGGGCAACUGGAAUUCUCGGUGUAGCGGUGAAAUGCGUAGAUAUCGAGAGGAACACCUGCGGCGAAGGCGGGUUGCUGGGCUGACACUGACGCUGAUGUGCGAAAGCUAGGGGAGCGAACGGG